rnacentral:lncRNA from 1 species
AGCAAGAUGGUCCAAUUUUUAUUAGCCUAAUGAUGGAAAACUCGUUUUUUGAGCGGUUCUGUGGAUUAUUGUUAGGAGCCUUUUCUAUCAUUUUUGCUGUACUAGCCAUUAUCAUCAUCAAAAACACCAUCCUCUGUCUGUCUGUCUGUCUCUCCCUCUCUCUCUCUCUCUCUCUCUCUCUCUCUCUCUCUCUCUCUCUCUCUCUCUCUCUCUCUCUCUCUCUCUCUCUCUCUCUCUCUCCCUGGCUUGUAUGGUUGAAGAUGUGAAGAGGCUCGUAGUGAUAAUCCAGUGGUUAACCGUCAAUGACCAGAUAUAGCUAUGAGAUCUGAAGGCUUGUCCAGAGACAUUUGUUCCUCCUAAGAUAUGUGAUUGAAUCUUAAAUCAUUUUUGUUCCUCAGUUAUUCUAUGGUUGUAUUUUCUUAGUUUCCACAUAUUUAUUACACUUCUCCUUUAUUACAUCCUUUAUUUACCAUUGCAUCGAAGUUGCGACUGCGUUUCGUUGUAGUAGUGAUGCUGUGUUAACGAUCAGAUCUACUCUUUUGUCUAUUCUGUGUCUCCAUGAUAUAACUGUAGAUGCCCACUGGUUUUUGUUUUUUUUUUAAGAAUGUUUUCUAGUGUAGCUAUUUUGCUGCCUCAGAAAUAUGGUUCAAUUUUUAUUAGCCUAAUGAUGGAAAACUCAUUUUUGGAGCGGUUCUGUGGAUUAUUGUUAGGAGCCUUUUCUAUCAUUUUUGCUUACUAGCCAUUAUCAUCAUCAUAAACACCAUCCUCUAUCUAUCCAUCUCUCUCUCUCUCUCUCUCUCUCUCUCUCUCUCUCUCUCUCUCUCUCUCUCUCGCUCUCUCUCUCUCUCUCCCUCCCUCCCUCCCCCCUGGCUUGUAGUGUUGAAGAUGUGAAGAGGCUCAUAGUGAUUAUCCAGUGGUUAACUGUCAAUGACCAGACAUAGCUAUGAGAUCUGAAGGCUUGCCCAGAAACAUUUGUUUCUUUUAAGAUAUGUUUAUUGAAUCUUAAAUCAUUUUUGUUCCUUAGUUAUUCUAUGGUUGUAUUUUCUUGGUUUCCACAUAUUUAUUAUGCUCCUCCUUUAUUAUGUCCUUUAUUUACCAUUGCUUCGAAGUUGCGACUGCAUUUCAUUGUAGUAGUGAUGCUGUGUUGACGAUCAGAUCUACUCUUUUGUCUAUUCUGUGCGUCUGCAUGAUAUAACUGCAUAUGCCCACUCGUUUUUGUUUAUUGUUUUUAACCAUGUUUUCUAGUGUAUCUAUUUUGCUGCCUCAGGAAGAUGGUUCAAUGUUUAUUAGCCUAAUGAUGGAAAACUCAUUUUUGGAGCGGUUCUGUGGAUUAUUGUUAGGAGCCUUUUCUAUCAUUUUUGCUGUACUAGCCAUUAUCAUCAUCAUAAACACCAUCCUCUCUCUCUGUCUCUCUGUCUCUCUGUCUCUCUCUCUCACUCUCUCUCUGUCUCUCUCUCUCUCUCUGUGGCUUGUACGGUUGGAGAUGUGAAGAGGCUCGUAGUGAUAAUCCAGUGGUUAACCGUCAAUGACCAGAUAUAGCUAUGAGAUCUGAAGGCUUGCCCAGAGACAUUUGUUCCUUUUAAGAUAUGGUUAUUGAAUCUUAAAUCAUUUUUGUUCCUCAGUUAUUCUAUGGUUGUAUUUUCUUGGUUUCCACAUUUUUUACACUCCUCCUUUAUUAUGUCCUUUAUUUACCAUUGCAUCAAAGUUGCGACUGCGUUUUGUUGUAGUAGUGAUGCUGUGUUAACGAUCAGAUCUACUCUUUUGUCUAUUCUGUGUCUCCAUGAUAUAACUGUAGAUGCCCACUCGUUUUUGUUUUUUUUAAACUGUGUUUUCUAGUGUAGCUAUUUUGCUGCCUCAGGACGAUGGUUCAAUUUUUAUUAGCCUAAUGAUGGAAAACUCAUUUUUGGAGCGGUUCUGUGGAUUAUUGUUAGGAGCCUUUUCUAUCAUUUUUGCUUACUAGCCAUUAUCAUCAUCAUAAACACCAUCCUCUAUCUAUCCAUCUCUCUCUCUCUCUCUCUCUCUCUCUCUCUCUCUCUCUCUCGCGCGGGCGUGUAGAGAUGAAGAUAAAAAGAGGCUCAUAGUGAUAAUCCAGUGGUUAAAUGUCAAUGAA